UAAAAGUCAGUGAGAAGCUCGUCUCCAUGUUGGUAAAGCAAACAAACAACUGUAGCAAUGUCUACAGUUCCUGUGUUUCAAGGGCUAUACGCUGAUACUUUUGAGGCACAAGUCUUUAUGGUUGGACCGAAUGUCACGUUACAUAAAAUCCCUCAGCUCAACACAAAAUGCUGCUAUGGACAUUGAUCUCAUUGGGAUUCCAAAGAAGAGCUAUGCUGCUGUGGCUUUCAUAAGCUUCACCAUAAUGGAGGACCUACUGAAACCAGACUUCUUCAACACAUCAGAUGACACAGUUAAAACCAUGAUGUCCA